ensembl:lncRNA
UCAAUAAAUAUUUACUGAAGAGUUCACAUGGAAAUUUCAGUUAAAGAGUAAGCAAUAGGGAAAUAUAGACAGGGCUCCAAAAAGGAAAACAGAUUUGGGAUGGUAAAGUUCCCUAAGGUAUUAAAGAUGAACAAGAAGCAUUAAACCUUUAGGAAUGUUCCUCCCCAGUGGGCAGAGAAGUGUAGGAGACUCAGAAGUCUAAAAGAUAGAAGAGAUAGAGUGGUUCCUGAAGGUAGGAAAAAGUUUCAGUGAGGGAUGGGUCAAUGGAGGGGCUAAGUGUUAUCUCUUAGUCCAGAAAAAUCAGAACAAGAAAAAGACCAUUGGAUUUGGAAAAGUCAUUUGCGACCACUGAAUAAAAGAGUAAAAAUGUAGGGCUUAAGGAGAGAAAGGACAUAGCAGGUAUAUAUAGGUCAUUACUGGAGCAGUUUGGCAGUAAAGGGAAUGAAUACUCUAGCAGGAUUGAGUGAGUUUCUUUUUGCGAGACGUGUGAGAACUCAGGCUUUUCUUAAUCUGAAGUUAAUGGACCCCUCGGGGGGCCACGAGUCACCUUCAGGGACUCUGCAAAUUCAGAAAUUAUUUUCAAAAUUGUGUGUGUGCAGGGUGGGUGGAAGGUGGAGGGGAAGGAGAAGAGGAUUUGUAGCUUAUUUUCCAAAAGGUCGAGACGCAAAAGUUAAUAACCACUGCUGAAUAGGAAGAGAAUAGAUGAGUUAAAAAAAAAAAGUUAAAAAACAGAACCCCGAAAAACCAGAGGCCCAGAAACCGCUAAGCUUUAGAGAAAAAAAGGAAAACCCCUUCCCUAUUUACGGAAAACCUAUAAACAGAUGGAAAAGUUCACAAUUGCAUCAUCAUCUCAGUAAAAUAGGCAGUAAAGAGAGAGCUGGAAACAGUGGGGAGGCUUGUGCAAACACGCUCCAGGGACGGGAAACUGAAGAAGCGAGGCAGACGGAGUAGGGAAAGCGCCUGUGUUCCUCAACCGAGCCUGCAGCCCUAGUGAAGCUCCUGUGCAACGUCACGGCCCAGGAGGUGGUGCUCAAGGCUGGGAAUUGCUGGCAUUGUUCUUUAACCAGUGCGCGCCCCUCUCAGACUCCACCGACCUGUCCAGGAGGGAGAGGGGUCUUAUCACAAAAGGCAGUUAUCACCAGGCGGUAGGUUCAUCAUUGCGUCACUCAGCGACAAGCUGUACGUCCGAACUUCCCCAUAUACUUUUCCUGCUGUGCUUGGGCAGCUGCCUCCAGUCUGGCUUCUCCAC